rnacentral:rRNA from 1 species
GGACUACCAGGGUUUCUAAUCCUGUUUGAUCCCCACGCUAUCGCGCCUGAGCGUCAGUAAUGAGCCAGUGAGCCGCCUUCGCCACCGGUGUUCUUCCCAAUAUCUACGAAUUUCACCUCUACACUGGGAAUUCCACUCACCUCUCUCAUCCUCAAGUCCAACAGUUUCAAUGGCAGUUCCGGAGUUGAGCUCCGGGCUUUCACCACUGACUUGGAAGACCGCCUGCGCGCGCUUUACGCCCAGUAAUUCCGAACAACGCUAGCCCCCUUCGUAUUACCGCGGCUGCUGGCAC